UACUUAGUGGCGGACGGGUGAGUAACGCGUGGGCAACCUGCCCCGUGCCGGGGGAUACCGCCUGGAAACAGGCGCUAAUACCGCAUAAGCGCAUACAGCCGCAUGGCAGUAUGCGGAAGGCUCCGGCGGCACGGGAUGGGCCCGCGCCCGAUUAGCCAGUUGGCGGGGUAACGGCCCACCAAAGCGACGAUCGGUAGCCGGCCUGAGAGGGCGGACGGCCACAUUGGGACUGAGACACGGCCCAAACUCCUACGGAAGGCAGCAG
rnacentral:rRNA from 1 species